ensembl:lncRNA
UUGGAUUUCUUCACAGGUCUUUGUCUGCCAUAUGAGUUCUGUUAUACUCACAGACAUCAUUCAAAUAGUUUUAGAAACUUCAGAGGGUUUUCUAUCCAAUACUAAUAAUAUGCAUAUAUUAGCAACUGGGAGUUAGGAGCAGGCCAUUUACUCUGGGCACCUUUCAUCCAAGCUACUCAAUACUGCCCCUGCAGCCAUAAGAAGUUAAUGAGGUAAUACUAGUGUUGAUAUUGGUGUUAAUGGGGUAUUAUUAGUGUUAAUAUUGGUGUUAAUGAGGUAUUACUAGUGUUAAUAUUGGUGUUAAUGGGGUAAUCAUAGUGUUAAUGUUGGUGUUAAUGAGGUAUUACUAGUGUUAAUAUUGGUGUUAAUGGGGAUUACUAAUGUUAAUAUUGGUGUUAAUGAGGUAUUACUAGUGUUAAUAUUGGUGUUAAUGAGGUAUUACUAGUGUUAAUAUUGGUGUUAAUGAGGUAAUAAUAGUGUUCAUAGUGAUGUUAAUGGGGUAUUACUUCAGAGAAGCAAUUGUGAUAGUGAUUCGGUCGUUCCAAUAUGUUUUUUGCAGUUGCGUUCUUGCCUCUGCGACUCCAUAUGGCUGUUGAAACAUGAGAUCAUCUGAUGGGCGAGAUGGUCUGCUCAUUAUUUACCUGUUGGAUCACUUGUGACAAUGGUCCGUCUGAAUGAACAGAUUUGUUCUGAGCCCUUGGCUGAAUGUAGCGUGAUCAGACUGUACCAACCUCCUCACACCCAACCCUUCCUCAUAGCGCCCACUCGUGUGUGAGCUGAGCAGCGGGUUGCCCUUGCCCCCCUACAGCAUCUGCGAUUCAUCACCAUGGCAUGGGUUGGCAGGACACAGCUCCUCAUGCUGGCAGCAGGGAUGGAUGCCAUCAUUCUUACCCUACUCUGCCUAGUUAGUUAACAUGUUUGUUUCAGUCAGUGGCAUGGGUUUGCCAAAACUCAAUGAGCAGCAGAUCUGCUUGGUGCUGCCUGGGGUUGAAUCAAACUGUUGGAUUAUGGGUAGAGGGUGUCAAAGUGUGCUAUAGUGACUCAUCCAGCCUGGGGAGGGAGGGAGGGAUUCAUGGCAAAAACUGGAAGACUGGCCAAUAGUUUUUAACCUCAGACCAACAGGCUGCUGAAUAGUCGCCACUUGUCAGAUACCUCCUAUACUCAUUACAGUCUUUA